rnacentral:misc_RNA from 1 species
UUGUGGAGGAGGACGCCGAAGGUGGGGCUAAUGACUGGGGUGAAGUCGUAACAAGGUAGCCGUACCGGAAGGUGCGGCUGGUUCACCUCCUAACAGGGAGACAACAAAAUGUUAAAUAUUAAUUUUGUCACCUUAGGUCGAUCGGUAUCUCAGGUUCUUAAUUCACUUAAGAAUUUCAAUUCCUAAGUUUUUUCUAGGUCACACCCAUUACUUUUCCUGGGCCAUUAGCUCAGGUGGUUAGAGCGCACCCCUGAUAAGGGUGAGGUCCCUGGUUCAAGUCCAGGAUGGCCCAUAUCUCUAUGUUGGGGGUAUAGCUCAGUUGGUAGAGCGCCUGCUUUGCAAGCAGGAUGUCAGCGGUUCGAGUCCGCUUAUCUCCACUGAUUACCACCUCUUCCAUAAGAAGGGAAUUGUUUUGUGUUUUGACUUUAUUCUGAACGAAUCUAGCUUCCUAAUAGUAAUUUAUUAAGAUGCUGGACUCAUUGAAUUUAUUCAUUGUUUUCAGAGAACCUUGACAACUGCAUAGAUUUUUUUUAAAGACAAUAAGCAUCUUAAUGAUGCAGAUUUUUAUUUGUGCUUUAUGCAUUAAAUAACAAUUCUAUUGAGCUGAUGCUUCAAUUUUUGAAGUUAUUGGUCAAGCUACAA